rnacentral:rRNA from 1 species
UACGUAGGGUGCGAGCGUUAAUCGGAAUUACUGGGCGUAAAGCGUGCGCAGGCGGUUAUGUAAGACAGUUGUGAAAUCCCCGGGCUCAACCUGGGAACUGCAUUUGUGACUGCAUCGCUGGAGUGCGGCAGAGGGGAUGGAAUUCCGCGUGUAGCAGUGAAAUGCGUAGAUAUGCGGAGGAACACCGAUGGCGAAGGCAAUCCCCUGGGCCUGCACUGACGCUCAUGCACGAAAGCGUGGGGAGCAAACAGG